CCUACGGGGGGCAGCAGUAGGGAAUCUUCGGCAAUGGACGAAAGUCUGACCGAGCAACGCCGCGUGAGUGAAGAAGGUUUUCGGAUCGUAAAACUCUGUUGUUAGAGAAGAACAAGGACGUUAGUAACUGAACGUCCCCUGACGGUAUCUAACCAGAAAGCCACAGCUAACUACGUGCCAGCAGCCGCGGUAAUACGUAGGUGGCAAGCGUUGUCCGGAUUUAUUGGGCGUAAAGCGAGCGCAGGCGGUUUCUUAAGUCUGAUGUGAAAGCCCCCGGCUCAACCGGGGAGGGUCAUUGGAAACUGGGAGACUUGAGUGCAGAAGAGGAAAGUGGAAUUCCAUGUGUAGCGGUGAAAUGCGCAGAGAUAUGGAGGAACACCAGUGGCGAAGGCGACUUUCUGGUCUGUAACUGACGCUGAUGUGCGAAAGCGUGGGGAUCAAACAGGAUUAGAUACCCGGGUAGGUC
rnacentral:rRNA from 1 species